CUGUUGGUGUUGCCGUUGGUGUGGGCGUCGCGGUCGGACUUGGUAUGAGUGUCGUCGCUGUCGUCAUCUACUGUGUAGCUAGGCGCCUAUGUCAACAGAGGAGGCGGUCGGACAAAGGACAGCAUUCACAUGGGAACACGGCAAUGCGGAACAGUGAAAACCAAAAUAAUGAAACAACUUAUGACGAUUUGAGAUCUUAACCCGACCAUCAUCUAUGUAGCGGGUUUCCUCUCUAAGACUAUAUGUCAAAUUACCAAAUGUUUGACAUCCAGUAGCCGAAGAUUACUAAAUCAAGGUGUUCUAGUUGUGUCGUUAAACAAAAAUAAACUUUACACUGUGCAUGUAAAACCCCGUUCAGUUUCAAAUCCACGUUAAAUUAUAAGAUAUUUUCGACUCCACUGUAGGUAAGAAUAAAGUUAUGACAAUUAGCUAAAACCAUGUCUUUAAUUGAACAUAAAACAAUAUAUAUAUUUUCAUGAUUUGUUGUAAGUAAAAAAAGAAGGUUUACGUGCGAAAGUUAUAUAAAAUCUAGGAACAGCGAAAGUUAUAUAAAAUCUAGGUGCAGAGAAAGUUAUAUAAAAUCUAGGACCAGCGAAAGUUGUAUAACAUCUAGGAACAGCGAAAGUUAUAUAAAAUCUAGAACAAGUGUGUUUAUUAUUUCAAACUAUAUGUAAAAUUGUCAUUUUAGUGGAUCCCGUGUCAUUAGUCUUAAUUGUUCCAAUGGCGGACCCCAGUGGACUUUAAACCCCAUGCAUUGUCUAUUAUUUUAUUUUAUUUUUACUGUCAACACAUAUAUAUCGGUUUGAAAACACCCCUAACUGACAAUCACCCUUCUCCUUCUGAAAUCGACGUGUCUUUUUCCCCCGUUCUGUUGUUUUCUUUUUAAUUUUGUGUAUUAUACAUCAUGUGAUAAAAUAUAAAAUUUGGUUUUGGUC